rnacentral:lncRNA from 1 species
ACCUUAUAUGCCGUUAAAAGUUUAAACAACUUCACAAAAUUUAAGAAAACGACUAGAGUCGUUUAAAAAAGACUAGAGUCGUUUAAAAAAUUUGUUCUUGCAUGUUUGCCAAGAACACAGCUUUCACAAAUUUCAUUUGAAUGAUCAAUAUUUGGCAACUACUUCAGCAUCUUUUUCUUUGACAACAGUCUUAAUCCUUCAAAAUUUAAAUGUCCAAGUCUCAAGUGCCACUACCAAUUCUUAUAAUUUAUAAUGGCAUUUAAACAUUUUGGUGAGUCAUGAGGAAUUUUAAAGCAAACAUUCUGCUUUCAGACAUUCGUACUUGGGAUAUUGGAUAUCCACGAUUAUCUUUGCUUGAGUCUUUUAAACUAAUGUCAUAUCUCUUUUCUAGGAGCUGUCUCAGACUUAAUAAAUUAUGCUUGAUAUCCGGCACAUAAUAAACAUCAGUAAUAUAACUGUAACCACUAUUAUUGAGCUUGAUUAAGAUGUUACAUUUUCCUUUUACUGGAACUUUGGAGAGGUCGCCAAAAGAGACAUAGCCAUGCGAAGUUUCAUCAAGCUCCACGAACACAUGCUUUUUCCUACACAUAUGAUUACUUGCUCUUGUAUUGCAUGAUGAGCCAUCAAUACUAGUGAUUUUGGCUCACUUGUAUCACCAAAGUUGGUAUUUUUGCCAACUUCAACUUCAGCAAUUUUUGCGUGACAUUCAUUGCUGUAAUCUCCAUACUUAUGACAGUUAUAACACUGCACGUUCCUUUUGUCCCCCAUUUGAUGAUUAAAACCAUUUUUGCGUCUUUCUUUUCCUCUAUUUUGUCCUCUACCUCGACUCUGUAUUGACCUCUUCCUCUUUGAUAAAUUUGUUGUUGAAUUUCAUGUCCACCAUUGAUGUUAAAUCUUCUUCCUCUUUCUCUAUUAUUAAAACCUUGUUCUCUUUGAAAUCGGCCCCUUCCUCGACUUGGUUGUGAAUUUCCUUCAUCUUCUUUAUUUUCUUGAAAAGCAAGCUUUGAUUACAAUGUUUGAUCAAGAGAUUUUGAUGAAGUUUUUUUAUUGAUCCAUUGUUCAUGGAUCUUUAAAGAAGCCAAUAGUUCAUUAAUAGCCAUAGUACUGAGGUCUUUGGAUUUCUCAAUUGCUAUGACUGCAUUAUUAAACUUCGAAUUUAGAGAACAAAGAAUUUUUUCUAUUACCUGCAAAUCUUUGAUCUUUUCUCCACUACACUUGAUAUUGUUCACUAUAGUGAGGACUCGAGUAAAAUACUCCGAGAUUGACUCACUAUCAAGCAUCUCCAAUGUUUCAAAUUUGCUUUUCAGCAUUUGUAGGUGAAUUAUAAUAUCUUUUCGAUACCUCGAAAUGAAUUUUGAAGUGCAUUCCAUGCUUCUCUUACGUUUGUAAUAGAAGCAAUCUUCUCAAAAUUCCAUUUAUCUAAUGAUAUAUUAGAUACAAGGCCUUCUGAUCUUUCUUCCUUGUUUCCUUGAGUGCUGCCUUUUCAGCUACACUUAAUACGUCUUCAUUAGCUUUAGACGUAGUUCUGUAUAACUUUUCUCCACCAUUUCCCAUGGGUCUUGAGAUGCUAAGAGCACCUUCAUUUGUAUGAUCCAAUUCUCAUAAUUCUCCUUUGUCAGCUUUGGUAGUUGUGGUUGGAAAAAACUAGUUGAGGAAGCCAUAUCGAAUUGGAAAUGAAGAUUUCAUCACUCUUUUUUUAUUCUUUCUUGGCUCUGAUACCACUGAUGGGUAGAAGUUGUGAUAUAAUGUCACUUUUCACUCAAAUAAUCAAACUUUCAUAAAUCUCACAACAUAUAUUUCAUACAAUAAAGCUAUUUUCUCUCAACAACUCUCUUAUACAAACAUGAAAAUUUCUCUUCUACCCGAUAAUUUACAAUACAUAACAAUACAUCUAUUUAUAGGAAAAAAAUAAGGAGUGUUCAAGUUGAUCAAGUAAGUUUCCUUAACCUCCUUUAGUAGAAGAAGUCAAUUGAGGCAAGUAACCUUAUCCCAUAUCCUUUGAUAGAAGGAGAGUUCAAGAUGCUCAAGUAACUUCCACCUCCUUUAAAAGAAGAGUUCAAAAUGGUUACGUAACUUCUUUAAAAACUCUCGGCAAAUGAUGAGUUUUUCCUUCACCGUCUAAAAUUCUACUAUCCAAUAAAAACUCUUGCUUAAUCAAGUUACAUUUUGACUAAGUCAUCAUCUUGAUAUCUUUGAGCUUUCUUUUAUUUCUAGAGUUCACUUGAUCAAGUUUACAUUACUUUCAGCAGUUUGUUUGUUCUCAAGUAGGAAAGGAUAAAGGUUAAAAAGUAUUCAUUCACUUACCCAACCCUUAACUAGUGAUUUCCGAACCAAAGACCAAAGUAUAAUGGUCAGUUCAAAUAUACAGAAGAUAAGAGUUGAUGUAUAUAAGUUAACAAAGUUUUACCUAUAGUUUGUAUGGGCAUCGGCUUUGAUCCAGUCACCUUAGUAAUGAGCAAAAAAUCACAAAUAAGUCAAAAUAAUAUAAGUUUCUAUAAAACGUGACGACUAAUAUUUAUUCAUAUUAAAAGUAAACUUUAAGCUCAUGUUGCAGAAGAAACAGCAAAAUUCGAAUUUAAAAUUUUUACGUGGAUUGGCUUGGGAUCAAACGAUACCAACAAGCAAAUAAACAAUUUAGAUAACCUCGCCCAUGAGUAAUUACAAAGAAAAAUAAGUGAACGUUUACAAGGUGUGUCAAAAUACCUCGAGGAUAUAAUGAGCUACCUACAAUUCAUCACCAGCCAAGAUGCCAACAGAAGGUCCAACUUGGAACAUCCACUGUAUAGGAGGUGAAUGGAAAUAUAAAUUUCAAAAUAAGGUUCAUGAAAAAAAAAAAUCAAAAUAGGUAGCUAGUGACGAAAAAGUCAACAGGUCAAUUUUACAUGGCUGGGCAUCAUUUCUCCAUUGAUGCCUCUUAUUUUGAUUCCUAGGUCAAGGAAUGCUUUAUACUGUGCACGUCCGAAAGCUUU